CUGUUCUGAUGAUUCGUGUGUGUUUAGUGAAUUUCAGUUUGUGGUCUAUUGUAAUCCCAAGGUACCUUACGUCGUUUUUCGGUUGUGUUAUUUUUCCUGCAGUUAUUGUGGGGGAGUCAGCGUUGAGUCUGUGGUUCGUGAGCAGAAGUUGAUUUUUUGUCGCGUUUGGCGUUAGUCUCCAUUUAUAGAACCAUGUCAUUGUGUUGUUUGUUAGUGUUUGGAGUCUUUCAGUCGCUUUUUCAGUAGUUUUGUCGUGUACAACAAGUGCCGUGUCGUCAGCGUAUUGUAAUAUGUAUGCCGUUCUGUCGAUCUGAUUUUUGUCUGAAAAUUUUAUGGAGGCCUUUUUAAAAAAGCAGUCUUUGUUGAGAGCCCAAAUUGUGCAAUCUUUAUCAACAGAAGAUCUUUUUCUGCACAUGGGUGCGAAUAAAUUUAGUUUUCCGUUAGACGAUGAACAAGAUCUGGAAGUAAAUCUUCAAAUGUUUCUUCUGGAUGAAACUAAUUUUGAUGUGACAGUAAACCACCUAUUAAAAAUUGGCGGAAGUACGCCUUAUGAGUUUGUUAAGCACUGCUUAACGAAUUUAAUAACCAAUCGUUUGGCUCAAAAAUAUACAUUUUUUGGUUCCCAAACAAAAUCGGCUCUCAGCCAAUUUAAGUUUUCGAACUUAUUGAAUACUGCAGCGACUCAACAAAAUCCUGAGGUCACCACGAAAAUGACCGAAAAAAACCUCCAGAAUGGGUUGAGGCAAGCGAAUGAGCGCCUAAA